rnacentral:misc_RNA from 1 species
CCACCCGACGGCAGACGCAAGCACCAGAAGACGAGUGCGAGACUGCCGAGGUUGCUAACAAGUCCACGCUUCGCCGCCCGGUGAACAAGUCUCUCUCUCUCUCCCCGUGUGUCCCUGUGUCUGAGCCGAGUGCUCCUUCAACACGCACGUACGCCCCAGCCACCAACACAGCGCACGCACGCACUCACACGCGUGCGUUGCCCUCAUAGAGCAACGCCACCAUCACCUCCCUCAUAGACACUCUGUGCGCUGUGGCGUAAAGCGUGCUUGUGACGAGGAACACGAAACAUCGGCCGUCACGCAGAACACGAGCCACACUCAUAGAAACCUGCUCCAGCAGUUGAUUCUUCCUUCUUGUUGUGGCCCUUCGCCUUCGCACCGCAGCGAUAGCCGUCACUACGUGUGCUCACGCAAGCAACGGCCAGGAUGGCGGAGAGCGCUGUUCUGACGCCGCUGAGUGCGCGCCACACCGUGUCGCCGCGAGACCGCAGUGCGCUCGCCACCGGCAUUUCGACCCUCUCGUCCCCGACGGAGGAGACGAUAGAAGUGGACGGCGCCACCACAACGCCGUCGCCGCCACCGCCGGAAACGCGAGUGAAUGUCACGGAGAAGCUCAGUGACGGCGGAGCUGAGAGGUGGCCCGGUGACCCAGAGCCGCCCUCCCAGGGCUGUGUCGCGUCGUCGUCUGCCACGAAUGCGCACCUGCCUAUCUCAUCCCCAGCACUCGUGCGAGAGGAGGGACAUGCGCACAUCACCGCCGCUGACUACGCCGAUCGGCAGCGACUGCUGUACCACAUCACCUACCUGAGCACCCAGCUGCAACGCGCGCAGCUGCAGGUGGAAGAUCUCACGCGAACCGUUUGUGUGCUACGUGGUGCGGUGGGCGACUCCGCCGCGGCGACAGCUGUCAAGGCCGCCGUGAAGGAGGACGCCACGUCGGCAGCAGUGCUGGCCGCAAAGGAAGAAAGGGAUGUGCACGCUGCCCUGCAGGCGUCCCUGGCGCUCUUUGACCCUGUGAUUGCGCAGGCCCAGAUCUACCGCCUCGACGAUGCGCUGGCACAGGUCGGGCUGCUGCGCGAGGCGGAGCUGGCCCAGCUGCGCAAAGCCAAUGCGGCGCUGCAGGAUCACCGUACGCUCGUCAGUCGCCUCUCCGAGGAGUUGGCGCAGCUGCGCAGCAAAACGGCAACGUUGGAGCAGGAGAAGCAGCGCACCGAGACGCAGCUAACCGCAGCUGUUCUCGAAGUCGAGCAGCUCCGCUACGAGGAGCGGCGACUCAACAACCGCGUGGCCGGCCUAGAAGAGCUUGCACAGGACGGCACUUGGAUGAGCAACGUGCGCGUCGUCAGCGCAGCCGCGGCGUCAACGCAGGCGUGCGUCUCUCGGUCGUCCCCGCUGGUGCGGCUCGAGCGCGAGGAGCAGUUGGCGCGGCAGGCGCUGCUGCUUGACGUCUUCUGGGACCCCGUGCUCAUCGCCUUCGACGCAGGCCUGACGUGGCUCUCCGAUAGCGCCGCGCUGCAAGCCAAAGGCUCGGCUGCGCAAGAGCAGCCGAUGGCUCCAGGCGGGGCCAAGGCUUUCGUGGGCGAGCGCGACCUUAUCUCACUGGCACAGGCCGGCAUCCUCGUCGAGACGCCGGCGCUUCCGACGGAUGCGGACCUGCUUCUCUUGCAGCGCCAGCAGGAGGAAGUAACGCAGCUGCGCUCUCGUGUGCAGCUGCUGCAGGAGCGCAAUCGCGUCGGCCAGCUUGAAACCGAGCGCCUCCAGUUUCUAUACGAGGGCGAGGUGCGGCGAAGUGAACGCAUGGCGAAAGACCACGCCGCGCAGCUGCAGCAGGCCUACGACGAGGUGGUGCGCGACCGGCAGUACAUCAUGAACAAGCUCAAGCAAGAGGUCGAGGAUCAAAUUCGGCUCGCCUAUGAAGACGGCAGAGCGUACGAAAAAAGCAGAGCCAGAAGCCGGCGCUCACAGAAGACAUUUCGCGCCGGCAACGCCGUCUUGUGACACGCGCCCCGCAUAGAAAAUGACAAAACCCGAACGCAUACCGCUGCUCUGCUGCUGCCGUUUUUUUUUUUUUCGCUUUUUCUCACGUCCCUUGUUUCCUGUUGCGCCCCCGGUUGGUUACGUGAGCUGUUGGUAUUAUCUCGCCAAAAGGUGCGAUG